rnacentral:rRNA from 1 species
GAUGAACGCUGGCGGCGUGCCUAAUACAUGCAAGUCGAGCGAACAGACGAGGAGCUUGCUCCUCUGACGUUAGCGGCGGACGGGUGAGUAACACGUGGAUAACCUACCUAUAAGACUGGGAUAACUUCGGGAAACCGGAGCUAAUACCGGAUAAUAUAUUGAACCGCAUGGUUCAAUAGUGAAAGACGGUUUUGCUGUCACUUAUAGAUGGAUCCGCGCCGCAUUAGCUAGUUGGUAAGGUAACGGCUUACCAAGGCAACGAUGCGUAGCCGACCUGAGAGGGUUGUCGGCCACACUGGAACUGAGACACGGUCCAGACUCCUACGGGAGGCAGCAGUAGGGAAUCUUCCGCAAUGGGCGAAAGCCUGACGGAGCAACGCCGCGUGAGUGAUGAAGGUCUUCGGAUCGUAAAACUCUGUUAUUAGGGAAGAACAAAUGUGUAAGUAACUAUGCACGUCUUGACGGUACCUAAUCAGAAAGCCACGGCUAACUACGUG